CACCUUAUCUGUGAUUUAUUUUUGACACGACCCGUCCCGAAUCACCCUAAUAGACCCGAAAUGUAACGUGCGCCGAUGAUAGAAGCUGACUAGAUAUCAAAUCUAUCACCAAGGCUAACUAGGAGUUAUUUCAAAAAAAUGCAAUAAAACCAAAUGCUUAUGUAAAAUACAAUGCGAUGGGCCCAAAAUAUUUGCUCCGUGCUUCAUCAAUAUGAGUUAUAAUAUUCAACAUGUCGUGUGGCUCUCAUUCAGAAAUCAUUAGGCUCUUCCAGCUAAAAAUGACCAAUUUCCACCUGUAGGAAAAAUCGUGGGAAAAUAUAUGAGUUGAUAACUCAGUGAGUGGAGCAGUUCAAAAAUAAUUAUACUUUUUCAAUUUUACAUUUCUACCGAAAAUGAAGUUCAUAUCAUUUCAUAAUUCAUAAGAUAACAUCUUGUAAUUAUAACCAAAAGUGAAAUAUUCACAUAAGGUCGUAAAAUAUCAUCUCAAAAUCAUGAUAUAAACACCAGUUGAUAACCAUGCUACAAUCUCAUCACAUCAAACGUGCUGAAAAAUCCACCAAAAAUGUACCCUCUGACUGAAAUAUGUAAUCCGCCCCUCGGGCUAAGAACUUUCGCCACGGGCCUUUGGCCCCUCCGUGAACGAAAGUCGGUCUCAAAGACCUCUCAUAAUCAAUUCUAGAACACGGUCAAGGUCCCUCAGUGAACUAUAUGU
rnacentral:lncRNA from 1 species